UUUCGCCUGGUUUUUAUCAAAAACAUCGCCUCCUGCAACAUAACCAUGUAUAAGAGGUCCAGCCUGCCCAGUGACCAAAAGUUUAACGGCCGCGGUAUUUUGACCGUGCAAAGGUAGCGCAAUCACUUGUCUUUUAAAUAAAGACCUGUAUGAAUGGCUAAACGAGGGCUUAACUGUCUCCCCUUUCAAGUCAGUAAAAUUGAUCUACCCGUGCAGAAGCGGGUAUAAACAUACAAGACGAGAAGACCCUUUGGAGCUUAAGGUAAAAACUCAACCACGUCAAGCAACCAACAUAAAAAGCAGAAAACCUUGUGGUUAAAUGAGAUUAUACCUUCGGUUGGGGCGACCACGGAGGAAAAAAAAGCCUCCAAGUGGAAUGGGGAAACCCCCUAAAACUAAGAGAGACAUCUCUAAGGCACAGAACAUCUGACCAUAAAUGAUCCGACCAAACGGCCGAUCAACGAACCAAGUUACCCUAGGGAUAACAGCGCAAUCCUCUCCCAGAGUCCAUAUCGACGAGAGGGUUUACGACCUCGAUGUUGGAUCAGGACAUCCUAAUGGUGCAGCCGCUAUUAAGGGUUCGUUUGUUCAACGAUUAAAGUCCUACGUGAUCUGAUUUCCAGACCGGACGU
rnacentral:rRNA from 1 species